rfam:Brassica napus, WGS project CCCW01000000 data, contig: 31052
AGAAUAUAAGAACCCGUCUCUUAAUUUUUAACUAAAAAAGCUAAGAACCGGUUCUUAACUUUUUUAGUUAAAAGUUAAGAGACGGGUUCUUAUAUUCU